AAAUGAGGGUCUCUGGCGUUAUUUAUUAGUCUAGCUGCAGACAGAAAGAAGCUGUUUUUGUGUCUUGAGGUUUUACAGUCCUCAGAUAGUAUUUCUUGAG